GAUGCUCUUCACACCAGGGUAACAGCAGGUCUGGCGGAACGAGAGAAACUUUUUUGCUGAAGACACACCACAGACGCCGGGACUUGAAAGAACCCCUUUGAUUCUUUCUUUGACUCAACAGAGCCAAGAAAGCAGGUUGGGGAAAACAAUAACUUGAAGAACCUGGAUAAAGUUAAUCCUUAACUUGAGACCAUUAAAGCCAGGAAAUGGAGGUCUUGGGCUUAAUCACAGAUUGAAGAGACAGUAAAUGUGGUAAUUAAAAGAAAGUAAACAGUCAACAAACACAAUGAAAUGAUAGCAACUAAAUGACAUUUAAAAUUUGGUGCCGACCUACCUGACACCUGGGAACCAAGUGAGGCUGUACGUGUAACAGGAGAUUCCCGUGCCGGAUCCCCUGCACACCAGAUGGUUUAUGGCUUGGUGAAGACAGUUGUCGGGUACCAACUUGCGUUUAGGAAGUCUCCUUCAGCUCAAGACCAUCCUGGUAGAAUUACCACAGGAAACCUGGACACGAAGAAGGGGUGCUCAAGAAAUCUGAUUUACACACGAAGCAGUAAACACUCAGUAAUGACAGAACCAACACAGGAUCAGAAUUGGCCCGUUUGACCUUGCAAAGCAGUACCAGUGGGCGCGGUUCACGGAACUCCUAAAGUGGAUAUUGAUUGAGCUGUUUUGAAAGUCGAACAUUCAGAACUUUUGACGCCACCAUUGACCAAAUCGGCCUCAUUGAUUCCAUGGUGAACGACAGUGGUAGAACAAUCGUGGGGAAGUAAACGAGGCACUGAGGACAGGACCAGAGAGGCCCCUGCAGCAUGCAGUGCCACCCUCCCACGCGCACAGGAUCCAGACUCUUUUAUCCUAAAGCCCAGGAAUCCAAAUUAUGAUUGGGGGUGUGGUGAGAAAAAAGUACAUUUUGAUGAAAAUCCAAUUAAAAGCGCGAUUAAUUGGGCACUUGGCUCGAUGACUUUAAGGAGAUGAGGAUGAAUCAAAUAGGCUCUGUGCCCUGAAGGAAUUUACAAGGGAGUGGGGGUGGGUAGGUAGGAGCAAAAUAAACAACAAAGGGAUGAGUCCAGGUUUCCAUGGGAAGAUUAGAUUGAGAUCAAGGCAGAUAACCUGGAAGGAAUAUUGGAGUUACUUGCCACUGGCUUGGACCAAGGAAACCUGAGAAGAGGCAGACCACGAGAGAUGUUCUGGUUGACACCUGCACUCCACCCCACCCUCCAAUAUGCUUUGCUGCCCAAAACGAAAUUGGAAAACUUUGGUAAGGGGUGACUUUCCUUCGUAAAUCAUAUUUAAAUGAGACAGCUGUAUUUUUCUGCUUCAUGCUUAGCCAAAUACUAUUUAAUUAACCUACUUAGACUUGUUGAUUGAGGUUAAUUAGACCCUAGGAUUGAUGUUAAUUGCCAUUGUAAACUGCCAAAGCUAUAAGCAGUACAUUUUGGAUUUGGUUUAAAAAAAAAAUGAGGUAGAGGUCUAUUUUCUUCGCUUGCUUGCUUUUGGUCUCUCUCCCUCCUUUAAGAUAAAAAGGCAUCCCCCCUUCCCUAAUUGUGCUGUCCUUUGUUUUUGUUGUGGUUGAUGGGUGGAUGGGUUACUGAAGGGUCUGUUUCCUUUUGGUCAAGAAUUCUUUAGACAUAGAGGCAGUCCCUUUCUCUUG